AAAAAUUUAGUUAAACCCAUAACAUUAGCUUGUCAAGCUAAAAUUAUCCUAAAGAUAAUUUUUG
rnacentral:tRNA from 1 species